rnacentral:tRNA from 1 species
GACCUUGUGGUGCAAUGGUAGUGUGUCUGACUCCAGAUCAGAAGGUUGUGUGUUCAGAUCACGUCGUGGUCA